GAUAAACGCUGGCGGCGUGCCUAACACAUGCAAGUCGAACGCCCUUUUGCGCAAGUGAGAGGGAGUGGCGGACGGGUGAGUACCACGUGGGUACCUACCUUGAGGUGAGGAAUACCACCGAGAAAUCGGUGACAAGACCGCAUACGCUUGGCAACAAGCAAAGUCUCGCAAGAGACGCCACAAGGUGGGCCUGCGCCUGAUUAGCUAGUUGGUGAGGUAAUGGCUCACCAAGGCGACGAUCAGUAGCUGGUCUGAGAGGAUGAUCAGCCACACUGGGAUUGAGAACGGCCCAGACUCCUACGGGGGCGA
rnacentral:rRNA from 1 species